ACAACUGUAGGAGCAAGAAGUGUCUGCUGUGGUUGUCCUCUUCAAUGAGGACCAUUAAUCCUGCCCCAAAUGCAGUGGCCAAAUGCGUUAUCCAGACACAGGCUAGCAAACUUCCAUGAGCACUCACUUUUGCCUUUGGCAUCCUGGGAAGUUGAAUGAUCUGCCCAGACGUGGAAAUGAUUAAUUCUGUCUCUUCAUGUCAGCCUGCCUGUUUAUGUUCUAACCAUUUACAGCCCAUUACAGCCCAUGCUAUCUGCAAACCAUCUAUAUUUCCCGCUAUCUCCAAACUCUUUACCACAGACAAACUGGAAGCUGCCUGAGCUUCACUAGUGGCUGCAUUCCACCUUGGGCAGGUUUGUCAUAGAUUAUGAAUCAAUUUUUAAAGGAAAAGUGCCUAAGUUGAUAUCAAAACAUCUCCGGAAAUACAAGGAGAGAUGACUCAGCUGCCUUGUCAGAGGACACUAGUUUGAUUCACAGGUCCCAGGCCAGGCUGCUCACAACUACUUAUAAGUCCAGCUCCAAGGGAAUCCAAACCCCUUUCCUGGCUUCUGCAGGACAACUACACUCACAUUCACAUACAUAUAUGAACACAUAAAAUAAAAACAUCUUAGCAGCAGGUUGGAGGAGGAUCCAGUACUAGUCCAAAUGCUCUAGCUCAACAAGAGCAUGGCCUGACUUUUUAAAAGAUUUAUUUAUUGUAUCUUAUAUGUAUGGGUGUUUUGCCGGUAUGUCUAUAUUAUGUGCAUGCAGUACCCAUGGGGCUGCAGGAAGUUGCUGCAUCCUCUCGUGUUAAAGAUAAUUCUGAGACAUUGUGUGAGUGUUGGAAACCACACCCUGGUUCUCUCAGAGAGAAGGAAAUACUAUGUCUCUGGCCCAAUUUCACCCUUUUAGGUGACUAAAAGUCUUUACAUUGGCAGCUUGAACUAAAUGGACAUGUCACAUUCCAUUGGGACUAAUACAUGGCCCUGUUUAUUACUUUUGUCUACCCUCCUGGCACAAAUGGGACUUAGUAUGUUGGGAUUUCACUCUCUUAAGUGCCUGGUGGUUAUUAAAAUGAGAUUUACAGAUAUGGUGAGUUAUGUUCAUGGAAGAAACAUACUCACACAGAAGCAACAUAGUAUUACCAGCCCUAUUUCAC
rnacentral:lncRNA from 1 species